rnacentral:rRNA from 1 species
UACAGAGGGUGCGAGCGUUAAUCGGAAUUACUGGGCGUAAAGGGCGCGUAGGUGGUUGUUUAAGUGAGAUGUGAAAGCCCCGGGCUUAACCUGGGAAUUGCAUCUUGUACUGAGCAACUGGAGUGCAGUAGAGGGUAGUGGAAUUUCCGGUGUAGCGGUGAAAUGCGUAGAUAUCGGAAGGAACACCAGUGGCGAAGGCGGCUACCUGGACUGACACUGACACUGAGGCGCGAGAGCGUGGGGAGCAAACAGG